CAUUUUGUAAAGAAAAAGAAAGAGAGCCGAAUGGAAGAAAGAGGCCAAGAGAGAGAGAGAGAGAGAGAGAGAGAGAGAGAGAGAGAGAGAGAGAGUUCAACCAAAGGAAGAAGAAGAAAAGAAGAGGGCUUUGUGGGAUAUCAAAAUUCAAGCUAAAAAGUUUGGAAAAUUCAUCACGAGGGUCAACUACAAGGGUGAAUUAGGCAUCUUAACACUGUGAGUAAUAUCUUAGUAUAGAUAUUUUCAAAUAUGUUAUUUUCCAAAUGCUACUUCUUUAUAAGCUUCAUGGAAUUGUUGAUUUGAAUUAUGAAUGAGUAUUCUAUAUGCCUAAUUUUUGUAUAAGACUCUGUGAAGAACAUGAUUUGGGCCCAAGGCCGUUUGAUAUGUAAUAAUAGUGUGAAUUGGGCCUAAGGCCGUUUGAUACGUUUGAUAUGUCUAAAUUGGACCUAAGGCCGUUUGCCAUUUGAUAAAUGGGCCAAAGGCUGUUUGAAUAUUAUGAUGGGCCUAAGGCCGUCUGAAUAUGAAUGUUUGUAUGUUUGAAUUA